AGAGUUUGAUCCUGGCUCAGGAUGAACGCUAGCGACAGGCCUAACACAUGCAAGUCGAGGGGCAGCGGGGAGGUAGCAAUACCUUUGCCGGCGACCGGCGCACGGGUGAGUAACACGUAUGCAAUCCACCUGUAACAGGGGGAUAACCCGGAGAAAUCCGGACUAAUACCCCAUAAUAUGGGCUCUCCGCAUGGAGGGUCCAUUAAAGAGAGCAAUCUUGGUUACAGACGAGCAUGCGCUCCAUUAGCCAGUUGGCGGGGUGACGGCCCACCAAGGCGACGAUGGAUAGGGGUUCUGAGAGGAAGGUCCCCCACAUUGGAACUGAGACACGGUCCAAACUCCUACGGGAGGCAGCAGUGAGGAAUAUUGGUCAAUGGUCGGCAGACUGAACCAGCCAAGUCGCGUGAGGGAAGACGGCCCUACGGGUUGUAAACCUCUUUUGUCGGAGAGUAAAGUGCGCUACGCGUAGCGUAUUGCAAGUAUCCGAAGAAAAAGCAUCGGCUAACUCCGUGCCAGCAGCCGCGGUAAUACGGAGGAUGCGAGCGUUAUCCGGAUUUAUUGGGUUUAAAGGGUGCGUAGGCGGCACGCCAAGUCAGCGGUGAAAUUUCCGGGCUCAACCCGGAGUGUGCCGUUGAAACUGGCGAGCUAGAGUGCACAAGAGGCAGGCGGAAUGCGUGGUGUAGCGGUGAAAUGCAUAGAUAUCACGCAGAACCCCGAUUGCGAAGGCAGCCUGCUAGGGUGCGACAGACGCUGAGGCACGAAAGCGUGGGUAUCGAACAGGAUUAGAUACCCUGGUAGUCCACGCAGUAAACGAUGAAUACUAACUGUUUGCGAUACAAUGUAAGCGGUACAGCGAAAGCGUUAAGUAUUCCACCUGGGGAGUACGCCGGCAACGGUGAAACUCAA
rnacentral:rRNA from 1 species